rnacentral:rRNA from 1 species
UACGUAGGGGGCAAGCGUUGUCCGGAAUCAUUGGGCGUAAAGAGCGUGUAGGCGGCCCGGUAAGUCCGCUGUGAAAGUCCAGGGCUCAACCCUGGGAUGCCGGUGGAUACUGUCGGGCUCGAGUCCGGAAGAGGCGAGUGGAAUUCCUGGUGUAGCGGUGAAAUGCGCAGAUAUCAGGAGGAACACCAAUGGCGAAGGCAGCUCGCUGGGACGUGACUGACGCUGAGACGCGAAAGCGUGGGGAGCAAACAGGAUUGAGAU